UGGUUAUUUAAACCCACUCCUUCCACUCCAGAUUGUCUUAGCAGCAUGCAAAGCUCUCUAGUACUAUUUCCUGGAUUGCUUCCUUGGCUUCCACCCUGCUUGUCCCUGACCUGUCCUCGUCGUUCCUGCCCUGGUAUCCUGAACAGCCUUCUGUCCCUGACCCCUCUGCCUGCUCGCCCCUUGUCUGUCUCCAACGGUCGUUAUCCUUCCCAGACGGAGCUCAGCGGAGGGUGGUCAGCACUUCUUGUUGAUCCUACCUGGAAUCGAUAGGCCAGCCGCGGCCCGGCUGACGCAGCAGAAUGGAGCCCAUCGAUCACUUCUGUAAUGGAAUCACAACCCAUCACCGCCCCCCAAGUAUGACUCCUGUCUCCGAGGGACUGGGGACACUCACUGGCUAACCACUCUCAAUCUUCAUUGUGUAUGCUGAUCCAACCUGCAAUCUCAUUGCCAUUAUGUCGUCUGAUUGGUGUCUCCUGAAUACUUACUUGACCAGGAAGUGAGAACAGGUCGACCACCCACUGGAAUGUUUCUGUGGUAACUUCUUGUCGUCACUUUGACUUAUG
ensembl:lncRNA